GCCUCUCUCCACCUGGUGACACGACAAUACGACUCUGAAGCCGAGAAGAAUGGUGUUAACAUUUCUGCCGCGAUGGUUGCUGGUGGCGACGAAGGCCAGUAACGAGGCUCUUGAGGAUCAAGGUAAGCGAGAGCUUCAUUCUUUCUAAGUUUCUUUGUGUUUUUGCUUGUUCACAAGGAUCACCAUUCCUGCCGGCCCUGCGAGCAUAGCAUCGUUUUUCAGUCUACGAUCUGUUUUCCUAGGUGACUGUGGCUCAAGAUUGGGUCCCCAGGAGGAGAGAAGUCGUUUUGUGAAGUGGAUACAAGCCGGACGAAGUUACCUUUGAACGCUUGCUCCCAACCCCUCGACCGUUCGCUCUCGUGAAGCUCUGGAAGCGGUCAUCUUGCUCAGCUCCAGAGCUGUUGUGGAAGAUGCAGCAAGCCGGAGACAAACCAACGAGCCGGAGAUCGACUGGUUACGAGCAGUGAAACCAACAGCGACGUGGAAGACGAAAUCCCCGUUGGAAACGCAUGUAAGGAGAUGCUAGAGCAUCAUCCUACGAGAGGAGACUCCACUCUAGGCGAUUCGCUAGAGUCUAGGAAUUGGAUAUGCUUUAUUCUCCAUUUUGUUUAUAUAAGGGCAAAAAGUGAGGAGCUUUAUUUCCCUA